rnacentral:rRNA from 1 species
UACGGAGGGGGCGAGCGUUGUUCGGAAUUACUGGGCGUAAAGAGUGUGUAGGCGGUGCUCUAAGUUCGGUGUGAAAUCUCCUGGCUCAACUGGGAGGGUGCGCCGGAAACUGGAGUGCUUGAGCGUGGGAGAGGAAAGCGGAAUUCCUGGUGUAGCGGUGAAAUGCGUAGAUAUCAGGAGGAACACCUGUGGUGUAGACGGCUUUCUGGACCAUAGCUGACGCUGAGACACGAAAGCGUGGGUAGCAAACAGG